rnacentral:rRNA from 1 species
AAACCAACAGGGAUUGCCUCAGUAGCGGCGAGUGAAGCGGCAAGAGCUCAAAUUUGAAAUCGGAUGCCUUUGGUAUUCGAGUUGUAAUUUGAAGAAUCCAUUCUAUCGGGGGACGCCUUGUUUAAGUUCCUUGGAAUAGGACGCCAUAGAGGGUGAGAGCCCCGUGAAGCGAGAGUCGUCUUUUGUUAUUAGAAGGGUUCUAAGAGUCGAGUUGUUUGGGAAUGCAGCUCUAAGUGGGUGGUAAAUUCCAUCUAAGGCUAAAUAUUGGCGAGAGACCGAUAGCGAACAAGUACAGUGAUGGAAAGAUGAAAAGAACUUUGAAAAGAGAGUGAAAAAGUACGUGAAAUUGUUGAAAGGGAAGGGUAUUUGGCCGUACGUGGUAUUUAGAUAUCGGGGCUCCUUGUGGGCUCUGCUCUAUCUUUUUACUGGGCCAGCAUCAGUUUUUGCGGGAGUAGAAUUGCAGUUGAAUGUGGCCCCUCGGGGUGUUAUAGCUUCUGUAGAUGCUGCCAGCGGGGACUGAGGACUGCGGAGUCUUGUGCUCCAAGGAUGCUGGCAUAGAGGUCGCAUACCGCCC